rnacentral:rRNA from 1 species
GACGAACGCUGGCGGCGUGCCUAAUACAUGCAAGUCGAGCGGAGCGGCGGACGGGUGAGUAAUGCCUAGGAAUCUGCCUGUUCGUGGUGGAUAACGUCCGGAACCGGGCGCUAAUACCGCAUACUCUCAGAUGAGCCUAGGUCGGAUUAGCUAGUUGGUGGGGUAAAGGCCUACCCAGGCGACGAUCCGUAACCGGUCUGAGAGGAUGAUCAGUCACACUGGAACUGAGACACGGUCCAGACUCCUACGGGAGGCAGCAGUGGGGAAUAUGGGACAAUGGGCGAAAGCCUGAUCCAGCCAUGCCGCGUGUGUGAAGAAGGUCUUCGGAUUGUAAAGCACUUUAAGUUGGGAGGCGUUACCAACAGAAUAAGCACCGGCUAACUUCGUGCCAGCAGCCGCGGUAAUAC